GCCGUUUUAUCCCCGCCCAGUUUGUAGCAUCCAGCUGAGCUGGCAGACCUGCAGCAGCUGGCUGGUUGGUGCAAACAGGGGGAGGAUGGACCUC
rfam:Branchiostoma floridae genomic scaffold BRAFLscaffold_186, whole genome shotgun sequence.